ensembl:lncRNA
AAAGGCAUCUCAAGCAAAGUGACUGAACACGCUCACUGCCGCUGGGGCAGAGCGGGAUGCAGGGUGCCCGCUUUCCUUCCCUCCACUAGACUGCAAGGGCAGGUGCUGCACCGGUGGCAGCCAGCUCUCCUUUUGUUCCAGCGGCAAGAGGAUCAAGGGGGAAAGCAAGAAGGUGCUGCUACAGAGCACGGCAGCACCGAGACCCACACCAAUAAGGUGAGAGAAGAGGAUUUGCAUACAUGGAAAUAGAGAAAAUGAUGAGAAACAGCUGAUGCUUCUGGAGGAGUUAGGAGAAAGAAGAAACAAAAAUUUCUUACCAAAUAACAUUUUACACGCUUAGCCAAUCUUCAGCCCCAAUUUCAGCUUAGCCAAUGCUCAGAAACAGACCUGUGUCUUCACAAACUUUCCCACACCGAGUAUAAUAGUUUUCUUUCUCUUUCCCUAAGCCCUGCUCAAGAUCUGCUCCUGACUGGUGCUGCUUUCCAAAACACCUCUCCAGCAGGCUGCUGGUGGCAGACACUGCAGGUGCGCUCAGCUGGUGAGGAGUGCACAAAUGUUGAACAGGCUGCUUCCUCCUCCCUGGGGGCUCCCAGUUACCAUCAAGGCUGCCUAUAUGAAUGUUCAAAUCGUUGUCAAGCCUUGCCACAGUCAGAAAUAUAUACCGAUCCAUCCACAGAAGCCUCUACUUCCAUACGAGCUUGUUUGGAAGAAUACUUAAGUACACUAUUUCAGCUCUGCCUUCCAUUCCUUUUCCUUUGUAUUUCCUGAGACACAGAGGUAAAACAAGCUUGUAUACAAAUUCAUUUUAAAAGAAAACAAAUAAUGCAGUUACUCAAUCCUUAAUUAUGCAUGGAAAAAAAAUCUUUGCAUGAAUCAGUAAUUCUUUUCUCCUUAUUCUUCAUGAGACAACGCUACAGAUUGUUCUAGUGAAGGAGUAGAGUAAGAACAAUGUGAGGAGUAUCGGUUCCUUCAACUCUACAGGUGCAAGGACUUGGCCACAUCCUUUCACUUGGUCUUUUGAAGUCAACAACUGGACUGUGGUUGAAUUGUCAGGAAGAAUGGCAACUGAAAAAGGUACACAUGAUCAACCAACCCAAGUUCAAGGAACACCAUAAAUGCUUUAAGAUUAGCUAGCCAGAAAAGCCUGUAGAUCCUCCAGGACACUGGGUUAUCUUAAGGGGAAGUGUGGGCACUUAGAGACUGACUCAUGGAAGCGCGACUAAAGCAGCUCUGUACAGCAUUGUUUGAGAACCACUGACCCAGAAAGGCACUAAAGCAAAGCUGGGCACAACGCCCCCAGCGCAGGCACUCAGCUCUGUGCUCUGCUGCUGGAAGGGAAACACUGCACAGAGCUCUGCAAUUUCACAGUCCACAUACACAGCUAAGGGUGCUUUUGUGCUUACAGUGAAAUGAAAAUUUCUGCUUCCCUUCUUACCUUCUCUUCAAGCGUCAAGUUAAAAGCUCUCUGUUGCUUUCCUGCUUUCUCUUCCCC